rnacentral:rRNA from 1 species
GUGGGGAAUAUUGGACAAUGGGCGCAAGCCUGAUCCAGCCAUGCCGCGUGUGUGAAGAAGGCCUUUUGGUUGUAAAGCACUUUAAGCGAGGAGGAGGCUCCUUUAGUUAAUACCUAAAGUGAGUGGACGUUACUCGCAGAAUAAGCACCGGCUAACUCUGUGCCAGCAGCCGCGGUAAUACAGAGGGUGCGAGCGUUAAUCGGAUUUACUGGGCGUAAAGCGCGCGUAGGUGGCCAAUUAAGUCAAAUGUGAAAUCCCCGAGCUUAACUUGGGAAUUGCAUUCGAUACUGGUUGGCUAGAGUAUGGGAGAGGAUGGUAGAAUUCCAGGUGUAGCGGUGAAAUGCGUAGAGAUCUGGAGGAAUACCGAUGGCGAAGGCAGCCAUCUGGCCUAAUACUGACACUGAGGCACGAAAGCGUGGGGAGCAAACAGGAUUAGAAACCCUUGUAGUCC